rnacentral:rRNA from 1 species
AGCGAACGCUAGCGGCAGGCCUAACACAUGCAAGUCGAACGAAGUCUUCGGACUUAGUGGCGGACGGGUGAGUAACACGUGGGAACGUGCCUUUAGGUUCGGAAUAACUCAGGGAAACUUGUGCUAAUACCGAAUGUGCCCUUCGGGGGAAAGAUUUAUCGCCUUUAGAGCGGCCCGCGUCUGAUUAGCUAGUUGGCGAGGUAAAGGCUCACCAAGGCGACGAUCAGUAGCUGGUCUGAGAGGAUGAUCAGCCACAUUGGGACUGAGACACGGACCAAACUCCGACGGGAGGCAGCCGUGGGGACUCUUGCGCAAUGGGCGAAAGCCUGACGCAGCCAUGCCGCGUGAAUGAUGAAGGUCUUAGGAUUGUAAAAUUCUUUCACCGGGGACGAUAUUGACGGUACCCGGAGAAGAAGCCCCGGCUAACUUCGUGCCAGCCGCCGCCGCGGUAA